GACGAACGCUGGCGGCGUGCUUAACACAUGCAAGUCGAACGGAAAGGCCCCUUUGGGGGUACUCGAGUGGCGAACGGGUGAGUAACACGUGAGUAACCUGCCCUUGACUUCGGGAUAACUUCAGGAAACUGGGGCUAAUACCGGAUAGGAAUCCUUGCUGCAUGGUGGGGGUUGGAAAGCUUCGGCGGUCUUGGAUGGACUCGCGGCGUAUCAGCUUGUUGGUGGGGUAGUGGCUUACCAAGGCUUUGACGGGUAGCCGGCCUGAGAGGGCGACCGGCCACAGUGGGAAUGAGAAACGGCCCAGACUCCUACGGGGGGCAGCAGGGGGGAAUAUUGCACAAUGGGCGGAAGCCUGAUGCAGCAACGCCGCGUGCGGGAUGACGGCCUUCGGGUUGUAAACCGCUUUCAGCAGGGGCGAAGCUUGUGGUGACGGUACCUGCAGAAGAAGCACCGGCUAACUACGUG
rnacentral:rRNA from 1 species